AAGGAAACCAGACUACAAAGACAAAGGUGAAAUUCAUUCUUUAAGUUCCCUCUGAGAUAUAACCCUGUGGUUCAGGCAAUGUUUUCCCCUGCUCCCAAAUGAGACUUUGUGGCAGAACAAUGGGUAGCUCAGGAGAAGAAGGAUGCUCUUGCUGAAUGGUUACUGGGGU